rnacentral:rRNA from 1 species
GUUUGAUCCUGGCUCAGAACGAACGCUGGUGGCGUGCCUAACACAUGCAAGUCGCGCGUGAAAGUCCCUUCGGGGGCGAGUAAAGCGGCGGACGGGUGAGUAAUACAUGGGUAAUCUACGCUCGAGCUCGGGAUAACCCCGCGAAAGUGGGGCUAAUACCGGAUAAGACCACGUAACCUAGGUUGCGGGGUAAAAGGUGGCUUUUAGUUUCGGCUGAGAGCUAUCACUUGGGACUGAGCCCAUGUCCUAUCAGCUAGUUGGUGAGGUAACGGCUCACCAAGGCUAUGACGGGUAGCUGGUCUAAGAGGACGACCAGCCACACUGGGACUGAGACACGGCCCAGACUCCUACGGGAGGCAGCAGUGGGGAAUAUUGGGCAAUGGGCGAAAGCCUGACCCAGCGACGCCAUGUGGGUGAUGAAGGCCUUCGGGUCGUAAAGCCCUGUUAAGUGGGAAGAAGAGUUCGAGGGUGAAUAAUCCUUGGACUUUGACGGUACCACUGGAGGAAGCACCGGCUAACUCCGUGCCAGCAGCCGCGGUAA